UGGGUGGUAUAUUUCAUCUAAAGCUAAAUAUUGGCCAGAGACCGAUAGCGCACAAGUAGAGUGAUCGAAAGAUGAAAAGCACUUUGGAAAGAGAGUUAAACAGUACGUGAAAUUGUUGAAAGGGAAGCGCUUGCAAUCAGACUUGCGCUCGGGGUUCAGCGGGGCUUCUGCCCCGUGUACUUCCCCGAGCUCAGGCCAGCAUCGGUUUGGGUGGCUAGAUAAAGGCCUGGAGAAUGUGGCCCUCUUCGGGGGGUGUUAUAGCUCCAGGUGCAAUGUAGCCUACCUGGACCGAGGACCGCGCUUCGGCUAGGAUGCUGG
rnacentral:rRNA from 2 species